GGCCUGCUGGCGAAAUGGCAUCGCGUCAGAUUUCGGCUCUGAAGAUUGUAGGUUCGAUCCCUACGUAGGUCG
rnacentral:tRNA from 1 species